AUAUAAAGAAUCGUGCCUGCCCAGCGCAGCUGUCAGCUCGUUAGCGGCCGCAGUACCCUGACUGUGCAAAGGUAGCAUAAUAAAUUGCCUUUUAAUUAAAGGCUAGAAUGAAUGGCUUGACGAGGAUCAGACUGGCUCUCUUAUAUUGACUAGAAAUUAUCCUUUAGGUGAAGAGGCCUAGAUAAAUGUGAUAGACGGAAAGACCCUAUUGAGCUUUAGGGCAAGUGGUAGCUAGUAGCUUAUUAGGCGCCCUUUGGUUGGGGCAACAGAAAGACAUACUAAGCUCUUUUUUAACUAUUAAAUAUAUCUAUUUUGAUCCGCUAAUUUGCGAUAAGAAGAUUAAGUUACCAUAGGGAUAACAGCGUAAUCUUUUUGGAGAGCUCUUAUUGAAAAAAGGGUUUACGACCUCGAUGUUGGAUUAAGAGUGCUGGUAGGUGCAAAAGCUUUCUAAGCUGGUCUGUUCGACC
rnacentral:rRNA from 1 species